rnacentral:rRNA from 1 species
ACGGAGGCAGCAGUGAGGAAUAUUGGUCAAUGGACGAGAGUCUGAACCAGCCAAGUAGCGUGAAGGAUGACUGCUCUAUGGGUUGUAAACUUCUUUUAUAUGGGAAUAAAGUAUUCCACGUGUGGAAUUUUGUAUGUACCAUAUGAAUAAGGAUCGGCUAACUCCGUGCCAGCAGCCGCGGUAAUACGGAGGAUCCGAGCGUUAUCCGGAUUUAUUGGGUUUAAAGGGAGCGUAGGUGGAUUGUUAAGUCAGUUGUGAAAGUUUGCGGCUCAACCGUAAAAUUGCAGUUGAAACUGGCAGUCUUGAGUACAGUAGAGGUGGGCGGAAUUCGUGGUGUAGCGGUGAAAUGCUUAGAUAUCACGAAGAACUCCGAUUGCGAAGGCAGCUCACUAGACUGCACUGACACUGAUGCUCGAAAGUGUGGGUAUCAAACAGGAUUAGAUACCCUGGUAGUCCACACAGUAAACGAUGAAUACUCGCUGUUUGCGAUAUACAGUAAGCGGCCAAGCGAAAGCAUUAAGUAUUCCACCUGGGGAGUACGCCGGCAACGGUGAAACUCAAAGGAAUUGACGGGGGCCCGCACAAGCGGAGGAACAUGUGGUUUAAUUCGAUGAUACGCGAGGAACCUUACCCGGGCUUAAAUUGCAUUUGAAUAAUUUGGAAACAGGUUAGCCGCAAGGCAAAUGUGAAGGUGCUGCAUGGUUGUCGUCAGCUCGUGCCGUGAGGUGUCGGCUUAAGUGCCAUAACGAGCGCAACCCUUAUCUUUAGUUACUAACAGGUCAUGCUGAGGACUCUAGAGAGACUGCCGUCGUAAGAUGUGAGGAAGGUGGGGAUGACGUCAAAUCAGCACGGCCCUUACGUCCGGGGCUACACACGUGUUACAAUGGGGGGUACAGAAGGCAGCUACCUGGUGACAGGAUGCUAAUCCCAAAAACCUCUCUCAGUUCGGAUCGAAGUCUGCAACCCGACUUCGUGAAGCUGGAUUCGCUAGUAAUCGCGCAUCAGCCAUGGCGCGGUGAAUACGUUCCCGG